CUUGAUGGUAAGGUAUGUCUUUUUGCUGAUGAUACUAAGAUAUGUAACAGGGUUGAUGUUCCAGGAGGGAUAAGCCAAAUGACAAAUGAUUUAGGUAAACUAGAAAAAUGGUCAGAGUUGUGGCAACUGACAUUUAAUGUGGAUAAGUGCAAGAUAAUGCAUCUUGGACGUAAAAACCCAAGGGCAGAGUACAGAAUAUUUGAUAGAGUCCUAACCUCAACA